GUUUUCAUGUGGAUUUUCAGGUGAUAUUUACGUCUGAAAACUUUUCCACAUGAUUUGCAAGAAUAGGGCUUCUCACCUGUGUGGAUUCUCAUGUGUGUCUGCAAUGCUGAAUUACACUUAAAGUCUUUCCCACAUGUGUCACAUAUGAAAGACUUUUUACCUGUUUGAGUAUUAGGGUGAAUCUCUGACACGUUAGUGUUGUCUACGUUGUUGCUGUGACUUCUGCUCUUGCGUCGUCUCUUCUUU